UAGCGGAGGGAAAAGAAACUAUAUAGGAUUUCCAUAGUAACGGCGAGUGAACUGGAAUUAGCCCAUCACGAAAUCUAUUGCCUUUGGCUUUCGACAUGUCGUGUAUAGAUUUGAUUUUGGUUUUGCAUAUCGACAACUAAAUGUAUUUAAACAUACUGCCAUAGAAGGUGCUAGCCCUGUAUGUUGUUGAUUGUCUCAAUCCACUGAUCUUAUCUUAGAGUCGUGUUGCUUGGAAGUGCAGCACAAAGUUGGUGAUAAACAUCAUCUAAGGCUAAAUAUUCCCAUGAAUCCGAUAGCGAACAAGUACUGUGAAGGAAAGUUGCAAAGCACUCCGAAGAGAGAGUUAAAGAGGACGUGAAACCGAUACGAUGGAAGCGUACAAAGCCAGUCGCAGUUUUAUUUUUUUUAAAAAUGAUUCUAAGCAUGAGAACUUUGGUUGUUUAUUUGUAAAGUCAUUUAGGUCGACAGUCUCGGUUGUUAGUUAAAUGGCGAUAACUCUUAAUCAGCUAAAGCAUCAUUCAUCUGGUGAUGAUUGGUUGGAAUUUGUGUUUUCUUUUGUAUUGCACAUGUGUAAUGCUUUUCUAAAUAUGAAUGAAGGCUAAUUUAUCCAGGUUGACUCUUAUGUAGUCCUGGUAUGUUGUACGUAAAAGAAAAUGAAACACGGAUA
rnacentral:rRNA from 1 species